GCCUAAAGCGUCCGUAGCCGGCUCUGUUAGUUUUCGGUUAAAUCCAUAUGCUCAACAUAUGGGCCGCCGGGAAUACUACAAAGCUAGGGAGUGGGAGAGGUAGACGGUACUCCGUAGGAAGGGGUAAAAUCCUUUGAUCUAUGGAUGACCACCAGUGGCGAAGGCGGUCUACCAGAACACGUUCGACGGUGAGGGAUGAAAGCUGGGGGAGCAAACCGGAUUAGAUACCCGGGUAGUCCCAGCUGUAAACUAUGCAAACUCAGUGAUGCAUUGGCUUGUGGCCAGUGCAGUGCCGCAGAGAAGUCGUUAAGUUUGCCGCCUGGGAAGUACGUACGCAAGUAUGAAACUUAAAGGAAUUGGCGGGGGAGCACCACAAGGGGUGAAGCCUGCGGUUCAAUUGGAGUCAACGCCAGAAAUCUUACCCGGAGAGACAGCAGAAUGAAGGUCAAGUUGAAGCCUUUACCAGACAAGCUGAGAAGUGGUGCAUGGCCGUCGCCAGCUCGUGCCGUGAGGUGUCCUGUUAAGCCAGGUAACGAGCGAGAUCCUUGCCUCUAGUUGCUACCAUUACUCUCAGGAGUAGUGGGGCGAAUUAGCGGGACUGCCGUAGUUAAUACGGAGGAAGGAGAGGGCCACGGCAGGUCAGUAUGCCCCGAA
rnacentral:rRNA from 1 species